rnacentral:snRNA from 1 species
AGCUUUGCGUAGUGGCAGUAUCGUAGCCAAUGAGGUUUAUCCGAGGCACAAUUAUUGCUAAUUGAAAAAAAAAAAUGACCACUAAACUGAAUUUUACGUUAAUCGU